rnacentral:pre_miRNA from 1 species
AUAUGUACACUCUAUGCUAAUGUUACAUCAGGUUGUUCCUUUUGAAACAACCUGAUGUAACAUUAGCAUAGAGCGUACAUUU